GACGAACGCUGGCGGCGCGCUUAACACAUGCAAGUCGAGCGGAUGCGGGACGGGUGAGUAACCCGUGGUAACCUACCUUAGACAUUGGGAUAGCCUCGGGAAACCGGGAUUAAUACCAAAUGCGGUUAGAUGGACUCGCGUCCCAUUAGCUAGUUGGUGAGGUAACGGCCCACCAAGGCGACGAUGGGUAGCUGGUCUGAGAGGAUGACCAGCCACACUGGAACUGAGACACGGUCCAGACUCCUACGGGAGGCAGCAGUGGGGAAUAUUGCACAAUGGGCGCAAGCCUGAUGCAGCCAUGCCGCGUGUGUGAAGAAGGCCUUCGGGUUGUAAAGCACUUUCAGCGAGGAGGCGUUACUCGCAGAAGAAGCACCGGCUAACUCCGUGCCAGCCGCCGCGGUAAUAC
rnacentral:rRNA from 1 species